CUGAUCUUUGACAGCUUCAAUGUCACAGGACGGCUUAAAUUAUGGGGAUGAAUGUUUUUCACUCACCCCAUAAAUCUGCUUUAAAUGAAUUGUA